rnacentral:snRNA from 1 species
GGAUGUGAGGGGCAAACAUCUGUCACCCCAUUGAUUGCCAAUGUUGAUUCAGCUGAUCUAGCUGGCUAGACAGGUGUCCCUUUCCUCCAGAAGCUGUACCCUCAGUUGAAGAGGAGAGCCCCGAUGUUCUUCGGUCAAGGGUACAUGAGUAUCUAUGUUCCCCGCUAGAACUUCCAAAGAAGCUCUCAAAAACCUCAGUAAAGCCAGGCACAGUGGUGUAUGCCUUUUUUUUAAUAUUUAUUUUUAGUCAUAUGUGGGCACUAUAUUUU